rnacentral:tRNA from 1 species
GCCCCUAUAAUUCAACUGGAUAGAAUGUCAGACUUCGAAUCUGAAAGUUGUGGGUUCGAGUCCUACUGGGGGCGCCA